UUUUGACUGUGCAAAGGUAGCAUAAUCAUUAGUUUUUUAAUUGAAAGCUGGAAUGAAAGGUUUGAUGAGAAAAUAACUGUCUCUGUGUAAAUGUUUUAGAAUUUCAAUUUUAAGUGAAAAAGCUUAAAUUUUUUAUAAAGACGAGAAGACCCUAUAGAGUUUGAUAUUUAAUUAAUUAUGAAGGUUUAGGAUUUUACUUUUUUGUUAUUAUUUAAAUAUUUUGUUGGGGUGAUGGAAAAAUUGAGAUAACUUUUUUUUGUUUGUUACAUUGAUUUAUGAUUAUUUGAUCCUUAUUUUUGGAUUACAAGAUUAAAUUACCUUAGGGAUAACAGCGUAAUUUUUUUUGGAGAGUUCUUAUCGAUAAAAAAGUUUGCGACCUCGAUGUUGGAUUAAAGUUAAAUUUU
rnacentral:rRNA from 1 species